CCUGAGGGUAGGUAAACAUGAAAUAAAUGACAAAUAACAGUCAAUGUAUCAUAAUACUCGAUAAAUGGUGCUUAGGAAAAAUUACCACACUGUAUAUUGGAUAUAUUGGGGUUAAAGAGGCUUGGACAAAUUUAAUUUACAUACUUUAAAAAAUAAACUAAACGUAAACUCUAAAAAAAUAUUUUUAUCAAAUUGCAUUAAGGUAACUUACAUUGAUUAUUCGCCAUAAAGUCAUAGGAAAAAAAGUAAUUAUUGUAUAUGGUAUAUGGGGGUUGGGGCAAUUGAUAAGCAGAUUUCACCCAUCUUUGGCACAAAACUACAGUAUAAAGUCAACCGAAAGUUUGAAAAUAUUUAUAAAGCGUGUUUUUUUAGACAUAUGCGUUUCAAGAAAAAAUAAAACGCCAUAAUUUUAUGUUAUGACCACGAAUUUAUUUUUAUUAUGUAGAUAAAGGAUUGGCAUUAUGUUUUAAAAUGAUUUCGGGCAAGUAAUCUCUGCAGCUGACUCAAAUAAAUUCCAUACGGGUAGUCCAAUUUUCUACCACUUCUUGCAGUAAUAAAACCAAACUUUGUCUAUAUCAGUAACAUGGUCGAACAGAUCAAAACAAAACAAAAUUUGCAUUAUAUAUUUGCAUUAUAUAUUUAUUCAUAUUAACGAAGAAUACUUUCGCCGGCAAAUUGAAUUAACAUUUUUGUAUCGUUACUAAACCUUUUGACGUACUUAAAACCGAAGCAUCUGCGUUGCACUAUAAUACAUAGUGGAGGAGACUUAAUGAUUUGAGGCUGUAUAGUAAAUCUGUGUUUUUAAUUAAGAACACGAAAAAUCUAGAAAUUGGACUCAGAUUUACUUGUAGAUAUUUUACAUAAGAAAUAAUUUCAAAACUAAAUUGAAAAUAAAUUAUAUUAAAAUAUACGGUCACUUAAUUUGAAUUAGAUAUUUCAAAUAUUGUAUGAUAUUUCUCAAAUUUUCCAUUGUUAAUAUCAAGGUUUCAAGAAAAUAACAUUUACCAAAUUUCAUUGAAAUCGGUCGAAUAGUUCUUGACAUAUGGUUUUUGAACCAAAAGUGGACGACGCCAUGCCCCU